CAAGCAGCACAGGGGAUCGCGGCGCAGCAGGUCUGUGUCGAGGAAAGUCCGCCCUCCACAGAGCACGGUGCUGGCUAACAGCCAGGCGGGGUGACCCGACGGAAAAGUGCCACAGAGAACAGAGUGCCGCUGGCGAAAGCCAGAUGGCGAGGGUGAAAAGGUGGUGUAAGAGACCACCGGCGCAGGCAGCAAUGUCUGCGGCCAGGCAAACCCCACCGGGAGCAAGGCAAAGCAGGCGCAUUGGGGCUGCUCGUCCCAUAAAAAGCGCCGGGUAUGCCGCAUGACGCCGUGAGUAAUCGCGGCGCAAGAGAGAUGAUCCCCGGAUACAGAAGGCGGCUUAUGGGCGGCUUGGACG
rnacentral:RNase_P_RNA from 1 species